GGCUCCGUAGUGUAGGUGGUUAUCACUCCAGGUUCUGAUUCUGGCGACACGAGUUCGAGUCUCGGUAAGUGACA